CGCCUGGGUCCUCGACUAAACCCCCAGUGAGCCCGAGGUAUUUUCCUUAUAUGAUCAGGCCUGUCGUGGCCAGCACUGCUGGUCUGGAGCCUGAGAGGAUUACAAAAACGUGGCAGGUGAUGGGGCCAGGGGACCGGGCG
ensembl:scaRNA